GAUGAACGCUGGCGGCGUGCUUAACACAUGCCAGUCGAACGGAAAGGCCCAAGCUUGCUUGGGUACUCGAGUGGCGAACGGGUGAGUAACACGUGGGUGAUCUGCCCUGCACUUCGGGAUAAGCCUGGGAAACUGGGUCUAAUACUGGAUAGGACCACUUCUUGGAUGUUGUGGUGGAAAGUUUUUUCGGUGUGGGAUGAGCUCGCGGCCUAUCAGCUUGUUGGUGGGGUAAUGGCCUACCAAGGCGUCGACGGGUAGCCGGCCUGAGAGGGUGUACGGCCACAUUGGGACUGAGAUACGGCCCAGACUCCUACGGGAGGCAGCAGUGGGGAAUAUUGCACAAUGGGCGCAAGCCUGAUGCAGCGACGCCGCGUGGGGGAUGACGGCCUUCGGGUUGUAAACUCCUUUCGCUAGGGACGAAGCGUUUUGUGACGGUACCUGGAGAAGAAGCACCGGCUAACUACGUG
rnacentral:rRNA from 1 species